GGUUGCUUUCAUACCAGUACUAAUGCACCGGAUCUCUUCAGAACUCCGCAGUUAAGCGUGGUUGGGCGAGAGUAGUACUUAGAUGGGUGACCUUCUGGGAAGUCCUCGUGAUGCUCCCC